UACGAAGGGGCUAGCGUUGUUCGGAAUUACUGGGCGUAAAGCGCGCGCAGGCGGCUAUCCAAGUCAGUGGUGAAAGCCCGGGGCUCAACUCCGGAACUGCCUUUAAGACUGCAUCGCUAGAAUUGUGGAGAGGUAAGUGGAAUUCCGAGUGUAGAGGUGAAAUUCGUAGAUAUUCGGAAGAACACCAGUGCGAAGGCGACUUACUGGACACAUAUUGACGCUGAGGUGCGAAAGCGUGGGAGCAACAGG
rnacentral:rRNA from 1 species